rnacentral:snRNA from 1 species
NNUUAGCAUGGCCCCUGCGCAAGGACGACAUGCAAAUUUGUGAAGCGUUCUGUUUUGUU